rnacentral:rRNA from 1 species
GACGUAGGGCGCGAGCGUUGUCCGGAUUUAUUGGGCGUAAAGAGCUCGUAGGCGGCUUGUCGCGUCGACUGUGAAAACCCACGGCUCAACUGUGGGCUUGCAGUCGAUACGGGCAGGCUAGAGUUCGGUAGGGGAGACUGGAAUUCCUGGUGUAGCGGUGAAAUGCGCAGAUAUCAGGAAGAACACCAAUGGCGAAGGCAGCUCACUGGGACGGUACUGACGCUGAGACGCGAAAGCGUGGGGAGCAAACAGG